GGGUGUAUGAGCUGCCAAUGCUGAAACUCAAGUUCAAACCCAAGCUUUGCUGUAGUUCUGUAUCAGCAUCUGUAUGGUUUUUAGUGGGCUGUAAAAUAUCCUAUGGUGAUUAUUGGGUGUAACAUUGCUGGAGUAUUAACUAACAAUGAGAUGGUACUGCUGCUUAGGCAAUCUGGUCUCUCAGGCCUCUCUGGUGUUAUAGGUCCUAGACAUUGAAAAUCGUGUUUUUCAUCAAAUUGGAUGAUAUUUGAAUGGAACCAGUUCAAAGUAGUAUGAAAACUGACUGUAGCUGGUACAUUGAUCAAGUUUGAUCAUAAAGUUACUGGUCCCCUCUCUACGUGUCAAACACUUGGAUUCAGGAGGCAGGCAUUACCAAGGAUUCACUUCCGGCUUUAUGCAACGUCAUAUAAAGGUAGCGUCUUAUCAUCCUAACUCAUUUAAAUAUGUACCGCCUUAAAACCGGCAUCACAUGUGCGCCUACGCAGAACAUACAACCAAAGAUACUGGUAACCUUUAAUCUGUGGUGUGACUGUUAACGAGCAAUCUACUUACCAGCAUGCCGUCAAAAGCACACUGUUGUGACUGGAUUCCAUAGUGUAAAAUUAAACUUACACUAUUUUUAUGAAGACAUCUGACAGCAAUGGCUGCUUUUCAUUUCGGGUGGACAGGCUGCACCGAAAAUUAUGAUCAUGUCACGCGUGUGCAGUGCACAUUUAGUGUGAAGUUACUUUAUCAAUUGGGGAGAACAUUCGAUAGGUCUUGCCAGGAAGCUAAUCCUGAAGACGGAUUCUGUACCAUCAUUGACAGUGGAUCUUGCAAGCGCUGACCAUGAUGUAAGUAUUAGAGUUUGAUGAGUCUGACACGGUAGCCAACAUUUUGGGGGGAUCGAGGGUCUAACGUUAGAUAAUGCGCUGUGACUGCUUUGACUUGUGAAUUAUAUAUUUUCCAUAACACACCUGAUAGUCACUAUAUGGUUUUGGUUUUUCCAUCCCUAAGCCCCCAACAUUGAGUCUUAGAACUGCCAGCGCACAGCUGGCACGAAGGAAGGUUGUCCACUAAGGAGUUACGGUGUGUAUAGUAUUUGUAAUUUACCCCUGAAAAUCACAUUUUGCCAUUCCAUUGUGUGGGUUGUUGUUUUACAGGCUAAUUCCCUCUCCAUUUGUCUUUCCACUAUCAUCAAGCUGUCAUGAUAGACAUUCUAGAAAAUUCAACAUCCACUCCUUCUGCACAGCUUCCCAGGCAACCACUGCAUCAGGAAUGCUGUAAUACAAAUCAGCUUUCCCAAGGCAAAGAAGGGGGGUAUGCUGUGAAGCCUGUGAAGACAGACCCAACUUAUACGCUACGUAGACAGGCUCCUGGAUCUCCUCUUCAACGAGGUCAUCCUUGAACCAGCGCCGUAUGUGGGGAAGCUGUGUGAGCUGUCCAUCCCAGGACCCCUGUCUGCCCAGUGUGAGAGGCCUGACAAGGAGGCCAUGGCUGAAUUUGUCUCCCGCUUCAAUCUUGUGGGUGACUUAAGCCUGCUUAAUUGAAGCGUGGUACAUGGUUCCCCCUCCUCUCACGCUUCCUAUCAAUCUCUGUAGUUGGUUGUAUUUCCUAGAGCCUAAGUAAUUCACUUGUACAUGUGUUUUUUUUCAAGCAUUCGGUCGGGAGUGUUACAAAUUGCACGAAUCACUGGGUCCUACACACUGUAGGGCGGCCAGGUGACUAAAUUAGGCUUAUGGCUCUAAUACUUUUUGUUAUGUCAAAUGAUGUCACACCAUUAUUUCUCGCCUUUAUUUCUCAUGAGUGUUCAUGUUGAUCAAUAUUUAGGCAAUGCUGGCCUAUUGUAAAUAAAUAAAUGUCUGAUCAAUGCGUACAAUUCUGAACAUAUUGUCAUUUAUAAUGCUAAUGCAGAGGCACCAAUAAAUUGUCCAGUACACUUA